rnacentral:misc_RNA from 1 species
GAAAUGCGAUAAGUAGUGUGAAUUGCAGAAUUCAGUGAAUCAUCGAAUCUUUGAACGCACAUUGCGCCCCUCGGCAUUCCGUGGGGCAUGCCUGUUCGAGCGUCAUCUACACCCUCAAGCUCUGCUUGGUGUUGGGCGUCUGUCCCGCCUCCGCGCGCGGACUCGCCCCAAAUGCAUUGGCAGUGGUUCCUUGCCCCCCUCUUUGCGCAGCACAUUGCCAUUCGAGGCGGCGGCGGCCCGCGUCCAACAAGCUCAACCCCCCCGUCUUUGACCUCGGAUCAGGUAGGGAUACCCGCUGAACUUAAGC